rnacentral:sRNA from 1 species
CUAGGGUUCCGGCUUCUGCACGAAGCGUCUGGUCCAAGAGCUGCCCGGCCUCUCAAAGAGGCUCCACGGAGGGAUAAAAGCCCGGGAGAU